GGAUAUAGACAAAUGUCACAUUUGCUCUUCCUUGUGUUGCUAAGGACACUAGUGGGUAGGGUUUGCUUACCGCGCAGGUAUAUUUAUGUUUUCUACAUUUUGUGAUGCUAAUGUCUGUAGUCCCAAAAUGCUUAUUUAGGCAUGUUUUCCUUGUUCACUUCACAAGAUUAUGUAUUCAUGUUGAUAGUAUGUUGCUCUUUCCAGGACCGAUAAUUCUGAUAGUAGCUGAUAGUAUGCCAAGGACUGCUCAGGGUUCCUAUCACUUUCUGUUUUACCAGCUAAGGUAAUCGAAUUUUGAUCUUCAGCUUGCAAAUUUAUCACCUUAUGGGAGGGAAAGGUUUGCAUGUACAUGAGCUUUUAUUAUCUACAUAUAUACUUGAAUUGCUUUGGAUUUGUUGGACGACUAUUCUACAUGAUGUUCUCC
rnacentral:lncRNA from 1 species